rnacentral:rRNA from 1 species
AUGGUGGCACAAAAUCGGAAGCCCCGACUGUUUACUAAAAACACAGCUGUCUGCGAUUAUGAAAAUAAUAGUAUAGAUAGCGAGAUUUGCCCAAUGCCAUAUGAAUAAGUAAAAUAAUGGGUAACUGUUUCUUUACAAAAAGGUGGUUAAUAGCGGUCUUAACUAUGAGGAUCCUAAGGUAGCAAAAUAAAUUGGCCAUUAAAUGUGGUCCAGUAUCAAUAAUUUAACGAUGGCUUCACUGUCUCUACAACUUGCUCAGUGAAAUUGAAUUACCCGUGCAGAUG